GCCUGGCUAGCUUAGUUGGUAGAGCAUGAGAUUCUUGAUCUCAGGGUUAUGAGUUCAAGCCCCAUGUUGGGUA
rnacentral:tRNA from 2 species